rnacentral:rRNA from 1 species
CUCGGAGUUUGAUCCUGGCUCAGAUUGAACGCUGGCGGAAUGCUUUACACAUGCAAGUCGAACGGUAGAGGGGGCAACCCCUCGAGAGUGGCGAACGGGUGAGUAAUAUAUCGGAACGUGCCCAGUCGUGGGGGAUAACGUAGCGAAAGUUACGCGUAAUACCGCAUACGAUCUAAGGAUGAAAGCGGGGAUCGCAAGACCUCGCGCGAUUGGAGCGGCCGAUAUCAGAUUAGGUAGUUGGUGGGUAAAGGCUCACCAAGCCAACGAUCUGUAGCUGGUCUGAGAGGACGACCAGCCACACUGGAACUGAGACACGGUCCAGACUCCGUACGGGAGGCAGCAGUGGGGAAUAUUGGUCAAUGGGCGCAAGCCUAGAACCAGCCCAUGCCCGCGUGCAGGAACGAAUGCCCUA